CAGAGUUACAUCCAUGGAAGCAGCCAAGCCCAGUUUGUGGCCGAAACUCACAUUGUCCUGUUGUUUAAUGGCGGAGUGACGCUCGGGAUGGUUCUUCUACACGAAGCCGCCAACUCGGAUAUGGAUGUCGGAAAACG